AAAAAAAAAGUUACAGCUCCAUCUAUAGAUCACUUUAUUUAUAUUCAGUUACCGACAUUUUCCAUUUUUUACUGCCGCUUUCCUUCUACAUAGUUUGUAUUACCGUGAUAUUUCAUUAUCAUAGUGAAUUUAGCCAUAGGUGGUCAAAUCGAAUUAGGGACAAUCGAAAUUAGGGAACUUUGACAGACUAUGGACCUACUCAUACCUUAUCUCGAUAUUCACUGAUCUCUAUAUACUACUGGAUAGUGAAUGGGCGCUUGAAAGGUGGUCUCAAUUGAAAGCUUUAGCGGCCAUCUUUGUUGUUGGGAAAAAGUUAUUAGACCACUGCUUGGUUUUCAUAAUAUUUAACGUGCUUUUUUUAUAAAUUUUUAAUCUAUUAUUAUUAAGUUAACUAUAUAAUGGUGCUCGAUUGCGUGUUUUGUGGUGAAGAAGGGGAACAAGGAAAAAGGUCGUUUUUUGUAUUUCUAAAAAGUCCAGAGCAAAAAACGGCCUGGAUAAAAAAUAUGAACAUUCAAAAUUUUGUUCCCUCAAAAUACAUGAGGUUAUGUUCCGACCAUUUUGAGGAGAAAUGUUUCCAAACAGGAGGAAACAAUGUGAAGCUGAAUCCUGGAAGUCAGCCAACAAUAUUUAGAACAUACAAAUCCGCUUGUGCUGCUUGUAAAGUUCAAAAAAAUGAAGCUGACAAACAGCGAUCGUUUCACAAGUUCCCCUUAAAAAAUAAGGGACUCUUAAAUGAAUGGUUAAGAGCAAUGAGGAUUGAAAGUUUCACUCCAACUCGAAAAAGUAUCCUAUGCUCAGAUCACUUCGAGAAAUCCUGUUUUGUUCGGUGUGGGAAUAUUCGUUUAAAAAAUUAAGCAGUCCCUACUAUUUUCUCGUCUCUUAAUUUACAAGGAAGAAAAAGAAAACAUUCACCUGAUUUGACUGCCUCUGAAGUUACUAGUGCUAAAAAGUCUGCUAAUUUUAUUUGGAAUGAAGGCGACCAAUCAAUUUCGCCUCCUAUAUGUACGACUCCCACAACUGAAACUCCGAAUAUUGAAAAUCUCGAAAACGAGUGCCCUCAGGACAUGAAUAGAACUCCAUUUACCCGAGGGCCAAACUUCUGGUUCUCUAAACGCCCAGAUAUAAGAAGAGAUUAAGUACCCUUAAAAAUAAUUUUAAAAUAUAAUAUAAAAUUAAUAUAAUUAUAAAUUAUAUAGAUAAAUAAGUAUAGAGCUAUACAUAUUAGUAAAUAAUUUGUACAAUAAUUGCAUUGAUUGGUUUUUUGUUCAAUUUUUUUUAAUUCAUUAAAUUUUAAUUAAUUUUUUUUA